GACGAACGCUGGCGGCGUGCUUAACACAUGCAAGUCGAACGGAAAGGCCCUGCUUUUGUGGGGUGCUCGAGUGGCGAACGGGUGAGUAACACGUGAGUAACCUGCCCUUGACUUUGGGAUAACUUCAGGAAACUGGGGCUAAUACCGGAUAGGAGCUCCUGCUGCAUGGUGGUGGUUGGAAAGUUUCGGCGGUUGGGGAUGGACUCGCGGCUUAUCAGCUUGUUGGUGGGGUAGUGGCUUACCAAGGCUUUGACGGGUAGCCGGCCUGAGAGGGUGACCGGCCACAUUGGGACUGAGAUACGGCCCAGACGCCUACGGGAGGCAGCAGGGGGGAAUAUUGCACAAUGGGCGGAAGCCUGAUGCAGAAACGCCGCGUGCGGGAUGACGGCCUUCGGGUUGUAAACCGCUUUCGCCUGUGACGAAGCGUGAGUGACGGUAAUGGGUAAAGAAGCACCGGCUAACUACGUG
rnacentral:rRNA from 1 species